UAGUUGGACGAUGAUCAGUCUUGUUUAAUGUGUGUUAGCCAUGACAUACAUGGACCAUCAUCAUUAUUUCUAGAACACCUAUUGUCAAUUGAACUGUCAUGGCGUCAUCAGAUUUUGUCAGAGACAUAUUGACAAAGUGGGACCUCAGUCAAUGGAUUAAGAAUUUUGAAGAGCAACAAAUAGACGAAGAAAGUU